rnacentral:tRNA from 1 species
AGUGGUUAGGAUUCGUGGCUCUCACCCACGCGGCCCGGGUUCGAUUCCCGGUCUGGGAA